ACUUGCUCGUGUAGAUAUUGGCAGCUGUCAGGUUUACCCUGCUGCCAUGCCAUUAGUGCUAUCUAUAAAACAGGACAGAAAAUUGAUGAUUAUAUUGCUCCUUGCUACUCCAUAGAAGUGUACAACAAGAUAUAUGAUCAUUGCUUACAACCUUUGGAGGGAGAGGAGAGUUGGCCUAUUUCAACAAAUCCAAAGCCACAACCACCUGGUCACAUUAGCUUGCCUGGAAGGCCUAAAACAGAAAGAAGGAGAGAGGAAGGAGAAAAACCUAAGGGUACUAAGAUGAGCAAAGUAGGUGGCAAGAUCACUUGUAGUUCUUGCAAAAGGCAAGGACAUAAUAGAUCAAGCUGUAAGAACAACGAUGGAGCUAAACAUCAUGGAAAUGCUCAUUUGGUCAGAGAAGCUGCAAAACAAAAGAAGCAAGACAAAGAGGCUUUUGAUGCUCUUCAGACACAGAAAGCUGUGCUUGAAAAGCAGGUUAAGAUGACACUUGUUAGUACUAAUGAAAAAUUGGUUGCUUUUUGUUUCUACUAA
rnacentral:rRNA from 1 species